AUGGAAGCAGAGGUGUCCAAGUUGUUGGAGUCCAGAAGAUCAUGAGACCAAGAACCCCUUUGUGGUUACGAAGGCUAUUUGCCAGACUAUACUGUUGUUGCAUUUACUAAUACAUUGCCUAGCCUGACCUUGUGAACAGGGUUGCUAAAGAGAUCAACACUUCGAGGGUUAUGGUCUUCAGCAAGUAGUUGGUGUGUUUCAAAGAGUAUUUGGAACUUUGAGAGGACUCAGUUAGUUAAGGAUCCCUUCGCUCUUAUAUGGUUCUCACCCAAGCUGCCUGCUGUGAAGCGACACAUCAGGGUGCCCCUGUCAGAAGCUGAAUGGGUGGAAGCAACAGAUCUUGUCUCUGAAACUGGGCUGAAAACUUUUCUCUAUAAAGUAGCUAGCAUUGGGUAUGUUAUUGUAGCAAGUAGAAUGGGAUAAUUUAUCUGGU
ensembl:lincRNA Gm29865 predicted gene, 29865